UUAAAUAAGAGAAGAUCAGCAUGGCCCCAGAGCAAAGAUGUGAUACAAAUUCGUGAAUUGCUCCAUAUAUUU
ensembl:snRNA U6 U6 spliceosomal RNA